GGGGUGAAGCCACGGACGGAGACUUGGGCAAUGCUCUUUUCCCCAGUUCCCAAAAUGGCAUUUUUUUUUUUUUUUUCACUUCGGAGUUUAGACGCCUAAUCCCACCAUUUUGUUCAUCGGCUUUGUCGUUUCAAUGGUGGAAAUAUUUAUAGCUUUCAGAGAAAAUCCCAGAUGAAAGGAUUCUAUCCGAGAAAGUUAAGAGCUCAACUAUGCCUACAGGGAUGAGAGUGUGAACAUGCUUAGUUGCUGUGUUCCACCGCAUCGAAGCUGCAAUUUCUGACUUCUCGGAGCUGAAAACAACUUCCACGCUGAGGAGCGAAGUCGAACACGGCGGCAUAUCCAGGAUCCAAAAACAGGAGAGGAUUGGAUCGUUGCUGGCGAUGGGAGGAAGCGAGAGAAAAAUAAACAAUUUCAUGUCGUCGAUGGAGGGCUUGAGAAGGUUGAAGGCCUUGCAUCAAUCUGUGGCUCUAGUGAUGGUGAUGACCAGUGAAGUAUGCCGUUGCGCUUGCACUUGCGGAUCACAGUCCAACUCUAAAGCCAGCAGGCUUUGAUGAUAUGAGCUCAACCAAGACAACCCCAAAGCUAUAUACAUCACUCUUAUCUGUAAGCUGGUAGCAUUGGUGAUACUCAGGAUCAACAUACCCUGGAGUCCCCUGAGGAGCAG